rnacentral:rRNA from 1 species
AUGGAUGGUACAUUCAUAACGAGUACUCAUUUUACCUCUCUUUGGAAGUGGCAUUUCCACUGUUACUCUAUCUCUUUUCGUGAGUGCUCUUUGCUUUUUGUGCAAGUGGUGGAUACAUAUACAGCUACCUUGGCAGAAGAUGUUCUUAUAACAGUUAAGCCCAUCUGCAAACCUUUGCAUCCUUUAUGGGCGCUUGUACUGGAAGCUUCAAAACUUUCAGACCAUGCAAUAUUCAGUUACAACAACCCGGCACUUUUGCUUCAGAUUCAGAAAGUGUUCAGCUCAAUCCUUCUGCUAUGCUGGCGGUCUUUUUAA